GUGCUCUUGCCAAUAAUGGUGCCAACGCCCUGAUGAAGUAUCAUGGCUGCUGGGGCUCUGACACCCAGCCAAACCCAGGGGUGGGGGUGGGGGGGGGGCUGAAGCUCCCCGGGGAAAUUUAGAGAAAAGCCGGGAGGAGGAGGGGAAGGAGGGGGAGGAGGGGGAAAGAAAAGCCUGCUCUCAGGAAAUGGCAGUCACUUAAAUAUCAUGUUCAUUUACUGUACUGCUAAAUAGCAGAACCUACACAGAGACAUUAUGUGUGCGUGUGUGUGUGUGUCAAUGGGGGGGUUAAUAUGUCGCUUCAUGUGACAAAUUGCCAUUUCAGAACUCCAUUGUAACCUGCUGGUCAGCAUGUGCUCGUGGAAAUCUAUGUAUUUAUUUACCACGUGACCUGUGAGUGGGGAACAUGUCAGACCAGCGAUUACACACUCGAGUCACGGUCUGAACACCAGAUCCCCAAACACGUUCCUUAAAUCAGUGAUUAAAUUGUACAUUAUAUUGUUUUUUGAGCCCUCUUCAUUAGAAAACAAAACAUAUUUAAAAUGUAAUCAAUUUCAAAAGUCAGUGGGCUUCUUAUUGAUCUCACUUUCACACAGGUGAAUAAUUACAGAGCCCACAGACUAGUAUGUGCACCAUAAUAAAACACCAAGGUAAAAAAUACAUUAUUUAAUAACACGUAAAAUAAAGCAUAAUUAGCGAUAUUAUGCAACAAAGCACAACUUAAAAAGCAUAACAGUAUGUAUGUGUGACACAGUGUAUACUUGUUACAUGUUACAUGUUGAACCAUGAUUAAAAAGAACAAGAACCAAGGAACCAGACAUAUCUUUAUAGAUCAAUAAGCUUGUGGCACUUCCAUGUCAUUGAGAUCUUUGAUUUUAACACUCAAACCACAACGAAGUCAGUGAGAACGCGCGUGUGUGUGUGUGUGUAUGUGCGCGCCAAAGGGUUGAUUGGAUUGUCAUUGUGCCGUAUUUAGCUGGUACCAUAAACAUCUCUCUGGAGAAUUACCCUUCAGCUCCAGUAAUAUGAAGCCAAUCGUUAACUCACGUGAGAGCCACUGAGGUUUUAGGUGUCCUUGCUUUUGCAGCAAUUCAUUAUCUGGAUCCUGGUCACCUUUUUACCAAUCUUCUCAAACACAAGCACGCACGCCCAGCCGAAUGCUAUUACAGUGUUUCUCAGCGAUAAGCCCGGGUGAAAUCUAUCUAUAAAUUAAGUUUUUGCAUCAUCGUUUAAGCUUGUAAUUGCUGGAAGACUCAUUUCAUUAGGCCGCAUAUCUCCUCCGUACCUGGAGCAACGUGCGUCGUGAUUGUGUUGUUUUGUCCCGUUUGUGUCCACUUUGGGUCGCUUUGUAAUGAGGACAAUGAGGCGAUAGCUUCACAUGAACCCUCAAAUUACAUUCUCUCACCUUUCACCCACACACAAAUAUAGAUAUUUAAUAUUAAUGUUCUGCCAGUUUCAUGCUUUCUUUUCAGGGUGAGGUUCAGGGCUGACUUUCACCACUUCCCCUCCUCGUUACCACAUCAGGACUCAAGUUGCCCUAGAACAACACCAGCUCCACCACAGUCACCUCACAACCCCAGUUUCCACACACACACACACACACCGAGUGCAAAACCUGGCCGUGUUUGCAGGUAGGGCCGCCCCCCCCACUGCUGGGACAACACGGAGCAGGCUCUCGGUCAUGACUAGAAUAACAAGGAGCUGCACAGAAUUCAAUUAAAUGUUCUGCUCUUUGAAAAGCUACCACCCAGCGCCCACAUGCACGCACGCACACACAAUGUUGAAAGUAACACACCUCCACCUAACUACUCACUCUUGCUUUGUUCCUCCCACACAUACAGGAAAGCAUGCAUGAACACACAUGUGAAUAUCAACCCCCCUCCCCUCCCCGAUACCUCCUCUCUUACUAUGUGUGUGUAUGUGUCUUUGUCCCGUCCUCCUGAGAGAAGCCUGGACCUUCAAACAUCAUCUUUAUACCUGCCGCCUGAUUGGCUCCUGGAGGUCAGCGGAUAAGCCCAUAAAAAAGGUGUGACAUCUCUUUACAUCGACUUAAACGUUCACCCAUUUGUGCCGGCGGGGCCCGCGUGCGACAAGGACUACAUCUUACUGCCUUUGAAUCGGUCACUUAGCGAGGCCUGUGGUGGUCAAUGAGGUGAGGCAACACACCUUUAGCUCUUCCUGCUUCUCUAAGACACAAGGCCAGUUGAGUCCACAUAUAUUUCUGAUCCAGAAUCAGAGCACCAAGCGCCAGCCGAUCUAAUUAACUAAUUGGAACGUUGAUGAAACAGAGCAAAACACAACUAGGUUCUGUUAGGGCAGAAAUAAUUAAUGCAACAAAAUAGAGCAACGGUUAUGUCCUUCAUCAGCUCGCCCAUCAUGCAGGAGAACACAGCGCGUUUGUGGUGUGAACGCGGGGCACAGAAAUAAGGAUCGGGAGUGCUCGACGCGCUUUACUCAUCCACUGUGUCAAAACGUUUUUCAGGUCCCUUUGAAAUGUUCUUGGGGGGGGAUUAAGGUGUGGCGGCCCUCUCCUGUUCAGAACGCCCCCGCACACGCCACGGGAGAGAUGACCUUUAACCUUGGCCUUUUUCUGACUCCACUGGGAGAUGGCAAUGUGUGUCCAUACGUGAGCAGAGGUUAAAAGAGCGGAUGUUCUAUGCCUCGUCCACUUCAGCCAUCACUACAUGACCCCCCCCGUCCCAGUACCAAGUCAACUACAGAACCGUGUAAAAAGUACACAAUACAAAAACCUGAAACUAUGAAUUGUUAUUUCAUGUCAUCACUUCUGUGUGAGUCCUUUAUACAAAAAUGAAUAUAAUAUAUAAAUGAAAUAUAUAUAUAUAAAUCGAGGAGCCAUAGAGGGUUCUUCUCUUCUGUCUGUAUCUGUCAACAAAUAUUUACAAUUAAGGGUAUUUACAAGUCUUCCAGGCUGUUUCCUCACUUUAAAUAAUGUUACCGUUUUGUCAAAAUACGUAGCUUGAAUGACAAAAUAAGAAUUAAAUAGUAAAUAUCGUCUGAUUUUGUGUGGGUUUUCUCAUCUUUAAUCGUUGUUUUAAAUGUAUACAUUUUAAUAUGACAAACAUGCAUUCCUCUUGGUUUAUCUUUUUUUAAGUCUCCACGCUAUCACUGGUCAUCCUGUGUUUAAAGUCCUAUUGCAAUGACUUGUGGGUAAUUCCCUUGGCCUGAGUCAGCAGCAAAUGCUGACUUAUAGAAACAGUUCAUAAAAGGCUCAAUGCGUCUGCCAGAAAGCCUCAAACACUUUGUGC
ensembl:lncRNA